rnacentral:rRNA from 1 species
CCCUUAGAUGUUCUGGGCCGCACGCGCGCUACACUGACGAUGGCAACGAGUUUUUCCUUCGCCGAAAGGUGUGGGUAAUCUUUUGAAACAUCGUCGUGCUGGGGAUAGAUCAUUGCAAUUUUUGAUCUUGAACGAGGAAUUCCUAGUAAGCGCGAGUCAUCAGCUCGCGUUGAUUACGUCCCUUCCCUUUGUACACACCGCCCGUCGCUACUACCGAUUGAAUGGUUUAGUGAGGACUCCUGAUUGGCGCCGCCGCCCCGGCAACGGAGCAGCGGACUGCCGAAAAGUUGUUCAAACUUGAUCAUUUAGAGGAAGUAAAAGUCGUAACA